UACGUAGGGUGCAAGCGUUGUCCGGAAUUAUUGGGCGUAAAGAGCUCGUAGGCGGCUUGUCGCGUCGACUGUGAAAACCCGCGGCUCAACUGCGGGCUUGCAGUCGAUACGGGCAGGCUAGAGUUGUGGAGAGGUAAGUGGAAUUCCGAGUGUAGAGGUGAAAUUCGUAGAUAUUCGGAAGAACACCAGUGGCGAAGGCGAACUUACUGGACACAUACUGACGCUGAGGUGCGAAAGCGUGGGGAGCAAACAGGG
rnacentral:rRNA from 1 species